GAAUAUUGGACAAUGGGGGGAACCCUGAUCCAGCCAUGCCGCGUGUGUGAAGAAGGCCUUUUGGUUGUAAAGCACUUUAAGCGAGGAGGAGGCUAUGUUGAUGAAUACUCUAGGAUGGUGGACGUUACCUGCAGAAUAAGCACCGGCUAACUCAGUGCCAGCCGCCGCGGUAAUAAAGAGGGUGCAAGCGUUAAUCGGAUUUACUGGGCGUAAAGCGCGCGUAGGUGGCCCACUAAGUCAAAUGUGAAAUCCCCGAGCUUAACUUGGGAAUUGCAUUCGAUACUGGUUGGCUAGAGUAUGGGAGAGGAUGGUAGAAUUCCAGGUGUAGCGGUGAAAUGCGUAGAGAUCUGGAGGAAUACCGAUGGCGAAGGCAGCCAUCUGGACUAAUACUGACACUGAGGUGCGAAAGCAUGGGGAGCAAACA
rnacentral:rRNA from 1 species